CCUACGGGGGGCAGCAGUGGGGAAUAUUGCACAAUGGGGGAAACCCUGAUGCAGCGACGCCGCGUGAGUGAAGAAGUAUUUCGGUAUGUAAAGCUCUAUCAGCAGGGAAGAAAAUGACGGUACCUGACUAAGAAGCCCCGGCUAACUACGUGCCAGCAGCCGCGGUAAGACGUAGGGGGCAAGCGUUAUCCGGAUUUACUGGGUGUAAAGGGAGCGUAGACGGCCAGACAAGUCAGAAGUGAAAGCCCAGGGCUCAACCCUGGGACUGCUUUUGAAACUGCCGGGCUGGAGUGCAGGAGAGGUAAGCGGAAUUCCUAGUGUAGCGGUGAAAGGCGGAGAUAUUAGGAGGAACACCAGUGGCGAAGGCGGCUUACUGGACUGUAACUGACGUUGAGGCUCGAAAGCGUGGGGAGCAAACAGGAUUAGAUACCCCUGUAGUC
rnacentral:rRNA from 1 species